rnacentral:tRNA from 4 species
GCGGGUGUGGCGGAAUUGGCAGACGCACCAGAUUUAGGUUCUGGCGGGCGACCGUGGGGGUUCGAGUCCCUCCACCCGCA